AUUGAGAUUACCUUAUAGGUGGAUACCUGUGGAAAUUCUAGAGCUAAUACAUGUCAUACAUAAUAUAUCUUUAAGAUAUAUUUGGCUUUUAUUUUUUUCAAAUCAAAGUGUUUCUACACUAUGGGUGAUUCAUAAUAAUGCUUGGAGAUCGCUUUAUAAGUGACAAUUCAUUCAAGUUUCUGACCUAUCAGUUAGUCAGUAGUGUAUUGGACUAUUGAGGCAUUGACGGGUAACAGAGAAUUAGGGUUCUGUUCCGGAGAGGGAGCCUGAGAAACAGCUACUACAUCUAAGGAAGGCAGCAGGCGCGUAAAUUACCCAAUUCUGAUUAAGAGAGGUAGUGACAAGAAAUCACAAUAUUUUGCCCUAGGGUUAAAUAAUUGUAUUGAGAACAGAGUAGAUAUAUUAUCGAUAAACUAUUGGAGGGCAAGUCUGGUA
rnacentral:rRNA from 1 species